GUUGUAUAGUCAAGUAAUUAAGUGCAUGUGGUGGAUGCCUUGGCAGUCAGAGGCGAUGAAAGACGUGAUAGCCUGCGAAAAGCUCCGGGGAGGCGGCAAAUAUCCUUUGAUCCGGAGAUGUCUGAAUGGGGGAACCCACCUACUUUAAGGUAGGUAUUGCAACAUGAAUACAUAGUGUUGCAAGGCGAACGAGGGGAAGUGAAACAUCUCAGUACCCUUAGGAAAAGAAAUCAAUUGAGAUUCCCUCAGUAGCGGCGAGCGAACGGGGAUCAGCCCAUUAAGUUAUGUGUGUUUUAGUGGAACGCUCUGGGAAGUGCGAACGUAGAGGGUGAUAUUCCCGUACACGAAAGGGCACACAUAAUGAUGACGAGUAGGGCGAGGCACGUGAAACCUUGUCUGAAUAUGGGGGGACCAUCCUCCAAGGCUAAAUACUCCUGACUGACCGAUAGUGAACCAGUACCGUGAGGGAAAGGCGAAAAGAACCCCUGUGAGGGGAGUGAAAUAGAUCCUGAAACCGCAUGCAUACAAGCAGUGGGAGCACCUUCGUGGUGUGACUGCGUACCUUUUGUAUAAUGGGUCAGCGACUUAUAUUCAGUAGCGAGGUUAACCGUAUAGGGGAGCCGUAGAGAAAUCGAGUCUUAAUAGGGCGUUUAGUUGCUGGGUAUAGACCCGAAACCAGGCGAUCUAUCCAUGAGCAGGUUGAAGGUUGGGUAACACUAACUGGAGGACCGAACCCACUGUCGUUGAAAAGCCAGGGGAUGACUUGUGGAUAGGGGUGAAAGGCUAAUCAAGCCUGGUGAUAGCUGGUUCUCCCCGAAAGCUAUUUAGGUAGCGCCUCGGACGAAUACCAUAGGGGGUAGAGCACUGUUUCGGCUAGGGGGUCAUCCCGACUUACCAAACCGAUGCAAACUCCGAAUACCUAUGAGUACUAUCCGGGAGACAGACUGCGGGUGCUAACGUCCGUAGUCAAGAGGAAAACAAUCCAGACCGCCAGCUAAGGCCCCAAAAUCAUAGUUAAGUGGGAAACGAUGUGGGAAGGCAUAGACAGCUAGGAGGUUGGCUUAGAAGCAGCCACCCUUUAAAGAAAGCGUAAUAGCUCACUAGUCGAGUCGGCCUGCGCGGAAGAUGUAACGGGGCUAAAACUAUGUGCCGAAGCUGCGGAUNNNNNNNNNNNNNNNNNNNUUGACAUUAGUCAAGUGGUAGGGGAGCGUUCUGUAAGCCGAUGAAGGUGUAUUGAGAAGUAUGCUGGAGGUAUCAGAAGUGCGAAUGCUGACGUGAGUAACGACAAAACGGGUGAAAAACCCGUUCGCCGAAAGACCAAGGGUUCCAGUCCAACGUUAA
rnacentral:rRNA from 1 species